UCUUAAGAUUAUUAAAAGAUAUCAAACAUAAAUGAUAAGCUUACAUCUUUGAUAUAUUGUUCCGUAAUGUAAGAACAAAGAAGGAACGGAAGGAAUGCCAUUGAUAAAUAUGAAAUCUAUCUUUAUUGAUUCAGCAAUGACGAUUACAAAGAUUUACAACCAAAAUCUAGGCUUUUUGCUUUGUUGUUGGAGGUCUCCUCCUGUUCUUCCAUUCCUCUCUCCUCAGGGAGUCAGUCCCCUUUUCUUGCCUUCUUACCUCCUAUAUAUAUUACAAAUAUUCUCCUUUGUCCAAUGGCCUUUAGCCAGAAUACCCUCUCUCUUGAUUAUACUUUUCAUUGCUCCCCUCGAGUACUACGACGUAUGUUUUGCCGUACAAGUUUUCUGAUGGCUCGAUCUCGGCAGUGACCGAGAUACUCAUCGUUAUUACGCCUUGUGGGCACGACCACGGCUCAGUCGACCCUUUACCAUUUCUUUUAGUGCUAAUCUACGUGUGGUCAGAUUUUGACCUAUACAACCACCACGAUUAUAAAAGCUAAGUGGUCUUAGCUCAAGGAGCCCUCAUCUCCCUAAGCUCCCUCCUUAAUAGCUUGACCACAACAAACAAACUGAUCCGAUUACCACCACGGUUAUCAAAGCUGAGUGGUUCCAGUUCAAAAGAGCCAUUCCUCUCCCUGAGCUCCCUCCUCAAUAGCUCAACCAGAAAAAACAAACUGAUCUGAAUACCACCACGGUUAUCAAAGCUAGCUGAUCCCAGCUCAAGGAGCCACUCCUCUCCCUGAGCUCCCUCCUUAAUAGCUCGACCAGAACAAACAAUCUCAAUUUUCACAUUAAUACCAUUACCUCAAAUGCAAUAUUCGAUAUCACUGCACUAGUACAUGUCCGAUUCAGAAAGAGAAUGAAUUAUUAGCAAGUUUCUUUUCCUAUGUUGAAGUUGAAAUGUGUGGCUCAAGCUACUAUAUUCUCCAAAUUCGAUCAUUCACUAAACUUGGUGGUCCAGACCUGAAAGAGAUAGUAUAUAGAUAUAGUUAAUUAAGACUUGAAAGAUAUUUACCAUAAGACACUUUCUUAAGAUAAUAUCAUUACCCAGAUGAUGAUUAAUGACUUGGGUUAAUUUCACUGAAGGUCACUCAACUAUCUCUCAAUUUCACUGAAGUCACUCAAUUAUUUUGUCACUUAAAAGUAAUUAAAUUUUAUUAUUGUAACUUAAAAGUCCUUUUAGCUCAAACUCCUACCAUAAAUAUAACAUGACGUAAAAUUUAAUGAGAAAAAUCCAAAAAUAAAUGUCACACAAUCUUAAAUGGAUCAUACCCAUUUUAGAUCCAUUUCUCCCUUAAUGUUAUUUGACCCAUAACCCAAAUGAGUUUCAAUUAAAAAAUGCACACCCCUAAUAAAAUAGUUCUAACCAGUGUCGACCACACCACUCUUUAGCACUUUAGGGCAUCUCCAACCCCUGCACCAUUUUUUUAUACCAAAAUGGUGCAAAUAAACUCCAACCUAUUAUACUUUUUUUUUACACAAAAAAAGAAUAUUCCUUUUAUAUUCUUCUAUAUUAUAUUUUUUUUUGUUUAAAUUUAUUUUUAUUUCAAUCCUUUUUUCUCUUUUUUACAUAUUCACCCAUAUAAUUGAUAUUCAUUUCUUAUAUAAGCAUUUAAUAUAAAACUAUUUUAUACCAUUUAAUAUAUUUUCAAUUUUAAUCUAUAUCAGUCGCUACUGUAUUAAAUAUUCAUUUUUAUGUUAUUUAAUAGACAUUGUUUUAUUUAUUAACAACAUAUUAUAUUUUAUAUUUGCACUUUUUAUUUUUGUGAUGGUUAUAUUUUUUUAUAAAAUUAUAACUUAUAAUAAAAUUAACUUAUAAUUUUAUAUAAAAACAAUAUAUACGAAAAUUAAUUCUAAAAAUUACACACCAAAUUUAAGAUGUAAAAUUAAUAUUAUAAAUAUAUUACAUAAAAAGUAUAAGUAAUUACAAAAUUUAUAAUAAGUUAAAUUAAAAUAAUAAUAAUAAAAUAUUAAUGAAUAGUAAUGAUGCCGAGGUACUUGAAUGAACCGUGAAUAAAAGAAAGAGAAGUAAAAAUAUGAGGGAGGGGGAGGUCAUAGCAUAGCUCCUCUGAAGGCGCACGUAAAGCAGGGAUAGCUAAUGUACGCACAAGGACAAUGACCCGACAAAAAUCACAGGUAAUUGCACCGCCUACAAUACCAGAGACAAAUGAAGGAGUUAGAAUAGUUACGUCAGAAUCUUGGGGUACCACAAGCUGAUGAAAUUGGUCCAUUGGAUGAUUGGAAUAGGGAGUGCACCAUGUGUGGAUGCUUGUUGAGAUGGAUAUAUCCCAGGAGCUACCUAAUAAAAUGUUCAUUGAAGAGACAGAUGGAACUUAUAGAGAACAAUGGUUGGGUUAUGAAUGGAAACCGCACUUUUGUGAGGGCUAUUUCCAAAUAGGGCAGCAUACAGAGAAUUGUGCAAAGGCACCACAUGUGAUACAAAAACAACAACCCCAUGAAGAUAGAGGUAACUUGGUGAAAAAGGACACACAGCAGAGGCAGGGGAAAGCAAUGAGACAACAACACAGAAAAUAACCUGCUGCCCAGUGGAGAGUCCAAAU
rnacentral:lncRNA from 1 species